rnacentral:rRNA from 1 species
AACGUAGGACGCGAGCGUUAUCCGGAGUUACUGGGCGUAAAGCGCGGGCAGGCGGUCUGACAAGUCUGAUGUGAAAUCACCCAGCUUAACUGGGCGAGGCCAUUGGAAACUGACAGGCUGGAGGGCAGUAGAGGUAGGCGGAAUUCCGGGUGUAGUGGUGAAAUGCGUAGAGAUCCGGAGGAACACCAGUGGCGAAGGCGACACGCUGGGCCAUACCUGACGCUAAAGCGCGACAGCAUGGGGAGCAAACGGG